rnacentral:rRNA from 1 species
AUUGAACGCUGGCGGCAGGCUUAACACAUGCAAGUCGAGCGGAGUGAUGGUGCUUGCACUAUCACUUAGCGGCGGACGGGUGAGUAAUGCUUAGGAAUCUGCCUAUUAGUGGGGGACAACAUCUCGAAAGGGAUGCUAAUACCGCAUAUGUCCUACGGGAGAAAGCAGGGGAUCACUUGUGACCUUGCGCUAAUAGAUGAGCCUAAGUCGGAUUAGCUAGUUGGUGGGGUAAAGGCCUACCAAGGCGACGAUCUGUAGCGGGUCUGAGAGGAUGAUCCGCCUCACUGGGACUGAGACACGGCCCAGACUCCUACGGGAGGCAGCAGUGGGGAAUAUUGGACAAUGGGGGGAACCCUGAUCCAGCCAUGCCGCGUGUGUGAAGAAGGCCUUAUGGUUGUAAAGCACUUUAAGCGAGGAGGAGGCUCUUUUGGUUAAUACCCAAGAUGAGUGGACGUUACUCGCAGAAUAAGCACCGGCUAACUCUGUGCCAGCAGCCGCGGUAA